rnacentral:rRNA from 1 species
ACGGGUGAGUACACGUAAGCAACCUGCCUUUAAGACGAGAAUAACAAUUGGAAACAGUUGCUAAGGCUGGAUAGGAAAUAAAAGGCAUCUUUUUAUUUUUAAAAGACCUUUUUCGGAAGGUAUGCUUAAAGAGGGGCUUGCGUCACAUUAGUUAGUUGGUAGGGUAAAGGCCUACCAAGACGAUGAUGUGUAGCUGGACUGAGAGGUUGAACAGCCACAUUGGGACUGAGACACGGCCCAAACUCCUACGGGAGGCAGCAGUAGGGAAUUUUCGGCAAUGGAGGAAACUCUGACCGAGCAACGCCGCGUGAACGACGAAGUACUUCGGUAUGUAAAGUUCUUUUAUUGAAGAAGAAACAAUAGUGGAAAAACUAUCUUGACGUUAUUCAAUGAAUAAGCCCCGGCUAACUAUGUGCCAGCAGCCGCGGUAAUACAUAGGGGGCGAGCGUUAUCCGGAAUUAUUGGGCGUAAAGGGUGCGUAGGCGGUUUAAUAAGUCUCUAGUUUAAUUUCAACGCUUAACGUUGUCCUGCUAGAGAAACUGUUUAACUAGAGUGAGAUAGAGGUAAGCGGAAUUCCAUGUGUAGCGGUAAAAUGUGUAAAUAUAUGGAGGAACACCAGAGGCGUAGGCGGCUUACUGGGUCUUUACUGACGCUGAUGCACGAAAGCGUGGGGAGCAAACAGGAUUAGAUACCCUGGUAGUCCACGCCGUAAACUAUGAGUACUAAGUGUCGGGGUUAAACUCGGUACUGAAGUUAACACAUUAAGUACUCCGCCUGAGUAGUACGUACGCAAGUAUGAAAUUUAAAGGAAUUGACGGGAUCCCGCACAAGCGGUGGAUCAUGUUGUUUAAUUCGAAGAUACACGAAAAACCUUACCAGGUCUUGACAUACUCUGCAAAGCUAUAGAAAUAUAGUGGAGGUUAUCAGGGAUACAGGUGGUGCAUGGUUGUCGUCAGCUCGUGUCGUGAGAUGUUAGGUUAAGUUCUAAAACGAGCGCAACCCCUGUCGUUAAUUGCCAGCACGUUAUGGUGGGGACUUUAGCGAGACUGCCAAUGAAAAAUUGGAGGAAGGUGGGGAUUACGUCAAAUCAUCAUGUCCCUUAUGAUCUGGGCUACAAACGUGAUACAAUGGCUAUUACAAAGAGUAGCUGAAACGCGAGUUUUUGGCAAAUCUCAAAAAAAUAGUCUCAGUUCGGAUUGAAGUCUGCAACUCGACUUCAUGAAGUUGGAAUCGCUAGUAAUCGCGAAUCAGCAUGUCGCGGUGAAUACGUUCUCGGGGUUUGUACACACCGCCCGUCAAACCACGAAAGUGGACAAUACCCGAAAGCGACAGCCUAACUGCGUAAGCAGAGGGAAUCGUCUAAGGUAGGGUCGAUGAUUGGGGUUAAGUCGUAACAAGGUAUCCCUACCGGAAGGUGGGGAUGGAUCACCUCCUUUCU